CCUGCCCCUAGAGGUGUUACAGGUGUGACUGCUGCGUGAUGAGUGUCAGGAGGUGGCAGAAUGGAGAGAGGGCAUAUCUUUGCUCAGUGUUCUGACCUAGGAACAUCUGGUUAGUUGCUUAACUUU